GCGUGGGAAAUUGCCUAGUAGUGGGGGACAACAUUCGGAAACGGAUGCUAAUACCGCAUACGCCCUACGGGGAAAGCAGGGAUCUUCGGACCUUGUGCUACUGGAUAUGCCCGCGUCGGAUUAGCUAGUUGGUGAGGUAAUGGCUCACCAAGGCGACGAUCCGUAGCUGGUCUGAGAGGAUGAUCAGCCACACUGGGACUGAGACACGGCCCAGACUCCUACGGGAGGCAGCAGUGGGGAAUAUUGCACAAUGGGCGCAAGCCUGAUGCAGCCAUGCCGCGUGUGUAAGAAGGCCUUCGG
rnacentral:rRNA from 1 species